UACAGAGGUGGCAAGCGUUUGUUCGGAAUUACUGGGCGUAAAGGGCGCGUAGGCGGCCUUCUAAGUCAGACGUGAAAUCCCCCGGCUUAACCUGGGAACUGCGUCUGAUACUGGGAGGCUAGAGUAUGGGAGAGGGAUGUAGAAUUCCAGGUGUAGCGGUGAAAUGCGUAGAUAUCUGGAGGAAUACCGGUGGCGAAGGCGGCAUCCUGGACCAUUACUGACGCUGAGGCGCGAAAGCUAGGGGAGCAAACGGGG
rnacentral:rRNA from 1 species